rnacentral:rRNA from 1 species
AGUGAACGCUGGCGGUAGGCCUAACACAUGCAAGUCGAACGGCAGCACAGUAAGAUCUUGCUCUUACGGGUGGCGGGUGGCGGACGGGUGAGGAAUACAUCGGAAUCUACUUUUUCGUGGGGGAUAACGGAGGGAAACUGACGCUAAUACCGCAUACGACCUACGGGUUAAAGCAGGGGAUCUUCGCACCUUGCGCGAUUGAAUUAGCCGAUGUCGGAUUAGCUAGUUGGCGGGGUAAAGGCCCACCAAGGCGACGAUCCGUAGCUGGUCUGAGAGGAUGAUCAGCCACACUGGAACUGAGACACGGUCCAGACUCCUACGGGAGGCAGCAGUGGGGAAUAUUGGACAAUGGGCGAAAGCCUGAUCCAGCCAUACCGCGUGGGUGAAGAAGGCCUUCGGGUUGUAAAGCCCUUUUGUUGGGAAAGAAAAGCAGCAGGUUAAUACCCCGCUGUUCUGACGGUACCCAAAGAAUAAGCACCGGCUAACUUCGUG